AAUAACUAACUGGCACAAAGCCCUAGAAGAGCUUUCCCACUAUCUCACCUCCUUUCUAACGCUCCCCGCUCCUCCCCUGCACCUCCCCGCCUUCUCCUUCCUCAUCCCGUUCUCUCACGUCGGCGCUCAUCUUCCGGCACCGGGCUCAAUAAGAUAACGGAUUCCGGCCACUCUUGCUUUCCUAGUUGUGUGUUUCCAGGAGAAAAAGUUGAUGCGUCCGCCUACUCCAUCUGAGGUGUAAUACAAAGGCCAUGCUAAAGAGAAUGGUGAAUUCGUGGACGAGACGUCACAAAAAGUUUGGGCUGAUUUUCAAAGCAAAAAAUCUACCAACUUGGAGGAUGCGAAUCCUAAAACAGAGAACGAGUUAUUUUUGGAAGCCUUAGGUGGAUGGAAGAAUGGGAGAGUGUAUGGUCUUGUAAAUGCUAUUGACAACUUUUAUGUGAAACCAAACAACGACCCAAGUUUCAAGAAAGUGCGGAAUGAGCUAGUGACUAAUUUGACAAGUAAUGUUGAACUACUCUUUUCGAAAAAUUUGGAACAAGCGAAGGAGAUUGAAGAAACAAAGGUGGUCCUAGAUGAAACAACAACAAAGCUCAAUGAAACAGAAAAAAAGCUUGAUGAAACAACAAGACAGCUUAAAGAAACAACAGAUGCUAUGAAGGCUAUGCAAGCUCAGAUUCUUUUCCUAACUGAAAAUGUCAUUUUGCGCCAAUCUUGAAUGAUGAUUAUCAGAAGAAAUUGCAUGGUUUUGUGUUAUUUUUGGCUUGUUGACUGGAACACAUUUGAACGAUUAGUUUAGCGUAGAGUUUUUGUUUUUAUUUUUCUAUUGAAAGCAGGUAAACAAAUAUAUAUUGCAAAUUAUGCAAUUUUGUUAUGUAGGGGAUUACCGGUUAUAUAUUGCAUAUAUAUGCAAUUUUGUUGGGAUAAAACUUCUUUUGUAGGCUUUGAAUUGAUUUUUUAAUGAAAGUUUUUAUUAUUUA